rnacentral:rRNA from 1 species
UACGUAGGGGGCAAGCGUUGUCCGGAAUUAUUGGGCGUAAAGAGCUCGUAGGCGGUCUGUCGCGUCGGCUGUGAAAUCCCGAGGCUCAACCUCGGGUCUGCAGUCGAUACGGGCAAACUUGAGUGUUGCAGGGGAGACUGGAAUUCCUGGUGUAGCGGUGAAAUGCGCAGAUAUCAGGAGGAACACCGGUGGCGAAGGCGGGUCUCUGGGCAACAACUGACGCUGAGGAGCGAAAGCGUGGGGAGCGAACAGG